rnacentral:rRNA from 1 species
GGCGCAGCUUACCAUGCAAGUCGAGCGGUAACAGGGGGUGCUUGCACCCCGCUGACGAGCGGCGGACGGGUGAGUAAUGCAUAGGAAUCUGCCCAGUAGUGGGGGAUAGCCCGGGGAAACCCGGAUUAAUACCGCAUACGCCCUUUGGGGGAAAGCAGGGGAUCUUCGGACCUUGCGCUAUUGGAUGAGCCUAUGUCGGAUUAGCUAGUUGGUGGGGUAAAGGCCUACCAAGGCGACGAUCCGUAGCUGGUCUGAGAGGAUGAUCAGCCACAUCGGGACUGAGACACGGCCCGAACUCCUACGGGAGGCAGCAGUGGGGAAUAUUGGACAAUGGGGGCAACCCUGAUCCAGCCAUGCCGCGUGUGUGAAGAAGGCUUUCGGGUUGUAAAGCACUUUCAGUGAGGAGGAAAACCUUCUGGUUAAUACCCAUGAGGCUUGACGUUACUCACAGAAGAAGCACCGGCUAACUCCGUGCCAGCAGCCGCGGUAAUACGGAGGGUGCAAGCGUUAAUCGGAAUUACUGGGCGUAAAGCGCGCGUAGGUGGUUUGAUAAGCGAGAUGUGAAAGCCCCGGGCUUAACCUGGGAACGGCAUUUCGAAC